AGCAUCUACACAAAGAGACAGAUCUGUUCGUAGACAACUAAAUCUUAUUAAGAGAAGAAAUUUGAACCCUUUAACCAGCAGUGGGCCUCUACCUACGGUCUAAUGCGACCUGGUGGCAUUGAACUUGGACGCAAUAACCUGAGUAAGACUUCUAAGAAAAAGUACAGUUGACACUUGAACAAUACAGAUUUGAACCGCGUGGAUCCAUUUACAGAUCGAUUUCCUCCCAAGUCAGCAACCCCUCAGAAAGCAAGACCAGCCCCUCCUUUUCCUCCUCCUCCUCAG
rnacentral:lncRNA from 10 species